UACAGAGGGGGCAAGCGUUGUUCGGAAUUACUGGGCGUAAAGGGCGCGUAGGCGGCCACCGCAAGUCGACUGUGAAAUCUCCGGGCUUAACCCGGAACGGUCAGCCGAUACUGCGGGGCUAGAGUGCAGAAGGGGCAACUGGAAUUCCCGGUGUAGCGGUGAAAUGCGCAGAUAUCGGGAGGAACACCAAUGGCGAAGGCAGCUCGCUGGGACGGUACUGACGCUGAGACGCGAAAGCGUGGGGAGCAAACAGG
rnacentral:rRNA from 1 species